rnacentral:rRNA from 1 species
UACGGAGGGUGCAAGCGUUGUCCGGAAUUAUUGGGCGUAAAGCGCACGUAGGCGGUUCGUUAAGUCUGCCGUGAAAUCCCCGGGCUCAACCUGGGAAUGGCGGUGGAUACUGGAUAGCUAGAGUGUGUCAGAGGAUGGUGGAAUUCCUGGUGUAGCGGUGGAAUGCGCAGAUAUCAGGAAGAACACCCGUGGCGAAGGCGGCUCUCUGGAACGCAACUGACGCUGAGACGCGAAAGCGUGGGGAGCAAACAGG